UACGUAGGGGGCUAGCGUUGUCCGGAAUCGUUGGGCGUAAAGAGCGUGUAGGCGGCUCGGUAAGUCCGCUGUGAAAGUCGGGGGCUCAACCCUCGAAUGCCGGUGGAUACUGUCGAGCUAGAGUGCGGAAGAGGCGAGUGGAAUUCCUGGUGUAGCGGUGAAAUGCGCAGAUAUCAGGAGGAACACCGAUUGCGAAGGCAGCUCGCUGGGACGUUACUGACGCUGAGACGCGAAAGCGUGGGGAGCAAACAGG
rnacentral:rRNA from 1 species